rnacentral:rRNA from 1 species
AGGCCCAAGCGACUGUUUAUCAAAAACACAGGUCUCUGCUAAACCGUAAGGUGAUGUAUAGGGGCUGACGCCUGCCCGGUGCUGGAAGGUUAAGAGGAGUGGUUAGCUUCUGCGAAGCUACGAAUCGAAGCCCCAGUAAACGGCGGCCGUAACUAUAACGGUCCUAAGGUAGCGAAAUUCCUUGUCGGGUAAGUUCCGACCCGCACGAAAGGCGUAACGAUUUGGGCACUGUCUCAACGAGAG